rnacentral:rRNA from 1 species
UGGGGAAUAUUGGACAAUGGGCGCAAGCCUGAUCCAGCAAUGCCGCGUGAGUGAUGAAGGCCUUAGGGUUGUAAAGCUCUUUCGCACGCGACGAUGAUGACGGUAGCGUGAGAAGAAGCCCCGGCUAACUUCGUGCCAGCAGCCGCGGUAAUACGAAGGGGGCUAGCGUUGUUCGGAAUUACUGGGCGUAAAGGGCGCGUAGGCGGCCUGUUUAGUCAGAAGUGAAAGCCCCGGGCUCAACCUGGGAAUAGCUUUUGAUACUGGCAGGCUUGAGUUCCGGAGAGGAUGGUGGAAUUCCCAGUGUAGAGGUGAAAUUCGUAGAUAUUGGGAAGAACACCGGUGGCGAAGGCGGCCAUCUGGACGGACACUGACGCUGAGGCGCAAGCGUGGGGAGCAAACAGGAUUAAAUACCCUGGUAGUNCACGCCGUAAAACGAUGAGUGCUAGACGCUGGGGGCUUGCCUUUCGGUGUCGCAGCC